UUACAGGAGGGGGGAAGAACAGGAGGGUUCUGAAGGUGGUGAACGUCUCCAAGGAAGAUCAGGAUGGCCAUGGGGACCUCCUUCACCGUUGCCUUCUCUAUUCCCCCAUGGCUGACCCAAGACUCUGCUCCCCUGGGCAGAGGGUGCUCUCUGACACCUGCAGGUGUCUGCAGAUGCCCUCCUCUUCUAGGGAGAAUGCUCCUGGCCCUGUGGUGGCCCACCCUGGCUGUCCUCAGACACACAGCCCAAACCAGGGGAGGGUGUGAAACAAGGGUGGAGGAAUCCUCUCUUCUGAGUCCUGCACCUUCGACCCUGCACGGUGCUCUUGAGGAAAAAGGCUUGCCCCUCAGUGGUCCUUUCUCUACCUGCAGGCUUUCACCGCCCUGCUGACUGCUGCUUAUCCUACACCUCAAGAAGCAUCCGCUGUGUAUUCAUGAGAGAUUAUUUUGUAACGAGCAGUAGCUGUUCCCAGCCUGGUGUCAUCUUCUACACCAAGAAGGGGCAACGUGUCUGCGCCAACCCCAGGGACAGUCAAGUUCAAGACUGCAUGACAAACCUGAAGCUAAAAUCAGAUAUCAGGGGCCCACGAAUAAGGACACUUGCUCACAGGAUGGAACACCAGUUGCCAGACAAUCCACCUCCAGCUGUCUUGCCCCAACUGCCUUAUGAGCAUCCCUUGGCCUGAAUUAUUUUUCUAAAAACAACAUUUAUUCUUCUGUUCUGGUUUUAAAGCAAUACAUCCAAUAAAGAAUAUCUAAUCUGCUUUGCUUGAA